rnacentral:rRNA from 1 species
AUUGAACGCUGGCGGCAGGCCUAACACAUGCAAGUCGAGCGGAUGAAGGGAGCUUGCGCCUGGAUUCAGCGGCGGACGGGUGAGUAAUGCCUAGGAAUCUGCCUGGUAGUGGGGGAUAACGUCCGGACACGGGCGCUAAUACCGCAUACGUCCUGAGGGAGAAAGUGGGGGAUCUUCGGACCUCACGCUAUCAGAUGAGCCUAGGUCGGAUUAGCUAGUUGGUGGGGUAAAGGCCUACCAAGGCGACGAUCCGUAACUGGUCUGAGAGGAUGAUCAGUCACACUGGAACUGAGACACGGUCCAGACUCCUACGGGAGGCAGCAGUAGGGAAUAUUGGACAAUGGGCGAAAGCCUGAUCCAGCAAUGCCGCGUGUGUGAAGAAGGUCUUCGGAUUGUAAAGCACUUUAAGUUGGGAGGAAGGGCAGUAAGUUAAUCCCUUGCUGUUUUGACGUUACCAACAGAAUAAGCACCGGCUAACUUCGUG